rnacentral:rRNA from 1 species
CCUACGGGUGGCAGCAGUGGGGGAUAUUGCACAAUGGGGGAAACCCUGAUGCAGCGACGCCGCGUGGGUGAAGAAGCGCCUCGGCGCGUAAAGCCCUGUCAGCAGGGAAGAAAAUGACGGUACCUGAAGAAGAAGCCCCGGCUAACUACGUGCCAGCAGCCGCGGUAAUACGUAGGGGGCAAGCGUUAUCCGGAUUUACUGGGUGUAAAGGGGGCGCAGACGGCGAUGCAAGCCAGGAGUGAAAGCCCGGGGCCCAACCCCGGGACUGCUGUUGGAACUGCGUGGCGAGAGUGCAGGAGGGGCAGGCGGAAUUCGUGGUAGAGCGGUGAAAUGCGUAGAUAUCAGGAGGAACACCGGUGGCGAAGGCGGCCUGCUGGACUGCAACUGACGUUGAGGCCCGAAAGCGUGGGGAGCAAACAGGAUUAGAUACCCGAGUAGUC